rnacentral:misc_RNA from 1 species
GUCCUGCUAAUCCAAUGGCGCUAAGAUUCUAAUAAGCUCAUGUCAACCAUGGCUUUCUUGUCCCCCGUUUUAUAUCCAUCACAUAAAAUCACAUCUCAGUAAUCAGCAUAAAAUGCAUACUUGACAAAUUUGACGCAGCUGUGCUUUCCAACGGUGCUGCUUUUUGUUCACUUGAAAUGCAAUAUCAUUUUCUGCAUCUCUUUCAUGCAGACCCUGAUUUUUUUUUCCUUGGUUCUUCUAUCAAUUGCCCACCCUGAAGGAUUCAGCAUAUGAAGAU